rnacentral:rRNA from 1 species
UGAGGAACAUGACCUUCGGCGGGGGAUAGCCGGCCCAACGACCGGGUAAUACCGCGUACGACCACAUGGGGACAUCCCUGAGUGGUGAAAGCAGCAAUGCGCCGAUGGAGUGCCUCGCGGCCUAUCAGCUAGUUGGUGAGGUAACGGCUCACCAAGGCGACGACGGGUAGCUGGUCUGAGAGGAUGGCCAGCCACAUUGGGACUGAGACACGGCCCAGACCUNUACCGGGGAG